UGCUUGCUGCUCGCUUGAUCUUUAACAUGCAAGAGAACGUCCUCCACCAUCUGCAGAUAGAAACAUGCGUUGGAUUGUUCAUGUUAGUUUGGUUGUGGUCAACAUUGUCUGGAUAAUUUUUUGUUUCACACUAGAUCCUUCUUUAGUUUUUGUACAGAAAAGAAGCAGCAGCUCCAAAAAAGACCCACUUAUGAGGGAAUUUUGUAUCCAGCUUCCAUUUGAAUUAAACUUUAAAGAACUUUGGAAAAAGAUGAGCAACACCAGCGUAACACUGCAUGCAGGCAAUGAGACCAGUGCCUCUCAGAAUGGAGACAACAUGGUUGGCAAGACUCCCACAAGUGCUCCACCUAACAUGUAA